CGGCGCCCACCUGGCGGGGCGAGGGACCCGACCGUCGGAUCGCUUGGGGUGCUAGGUGGCGGUGGACUGAGUCGGCGUAGGCGCCCGCACCGCAGUGUCUUCCGCGGUGGGGACUCCAGCGAGGUUUCCCCUGGAGCCAGCGCCACGCGUGACGGGCCUCGCAUCGCCGUGUGCUGCGAGGCGGCCCCGGACCGUGGGCGGAGAUGGCACACGCGUGCGCACCCACGGGCGGGCGGGCUCCGUUCCAUGCGGCGUGACGCGCGGUUCCGUUAUCCUCACCGCAGGUUACAGUCCGGAGGUGGAGGCGGUGGCUCCUCGGAGGCGCGGCCGCUCGCUGAAGAAGCCUGUGUGAGCACACAUUCGGGAAAACCAAGUAGUCAACACCUAUUUCUACCUACUUGACAAAAAUAAAUAAAUAAAUAAAUAAAUAAAUAAAUAAAUAAAUAAAUAAAUAAAUAAAUAAAUAAAUAAAAAUAAACGAAAGGCAGUGGGCCAGAAAAGGUGCUUCCUAUGGGGGUGAGGGAGUUCUGAGGGUUACAUUUGUUUCGGAAACAAUGUUCUGAAUUGCAGCAAUGAAGUCCUGUGAUUUAUAGAAGCUGUCACUCACUAAAUCUGCAUCAUCCCUGUUUUGUUGCAAGUUCUUUAUAACGUGCCGUAUUAAAAUGUAGACAAGAUUGUCAAAUUAACCAUUUUGAGAGUUGGCCCUGGCUAUAAUUUUCUGUGAAUCAUCUCACUGUAUUUUAAAUGUGAACAUAAGCAGCGUUGUCGAAUUGUUUUUUUUUUUUAAACUGCUUUACACAAAUUCUAAAGAGCAUUCCGAAGUUUGUGUGGUGCCAAAGGUAUUUAAAGCAACUUUACUCUUGAUUUCAUUUAAAGACUACAGUUCGAGUUGGUUUUGGUUUUGGUUUUCUCGUUUAUUAAAUUAGUAGAGCAAAUGAUGGACAAAGUUAACGUGUAAUUGAAAUAACUUGAAUUUUUCAACAAUGACUAUAGUAGUUCUAGAUUAUUCACCUAGUUAUCUCUUUAAACAGUAAAUUAUGUAAAAGCAUGGAAUAAUUUGAUUAAAAAGCUGUUACUACGUUUUCUAAGUGUUGCUUCAAAACCUAGAAAAAUUAGAAGUUUGUUCCUUGUAUAUUAUUAAAAAAUAUUUGUCCCUG